AUGGCUAUAAAGGCCGAGGGAAAGUUGUGCAAUACAUCUGGCUUGCCCGCCCGCCCCUCUGCCUUCUACCACGAGCUGGCCCGCCCUUCUGCCUUCUACCACGAGCUGGCUUGCCCGCCCGCCCACCCCUCUGCCUUCUACCACGAGCUGGCUUGCCCGCCCACCCGCCCGCCCCUCUGCCUUCUACCACGAGCUGGCUUGCCUGCCCGCCCGCCCGCCCCUCUGCCUUCUACCACGAGCUGGCUUGCCCGCCCGCCUCCCGCCCGCCCCUCUGCCUUCUACCACGAGCUGGCUUGCCCGCCCGCCCGCCUCUCUGCCUUCGCCCACGAGCUGGCCCGCCCGCCCCUCUGCCUUCGCCCACGAGCUGGCCCGCCCGCCCGCAUUUCUGCCUUCUCCCUCAAGCUGGCCCGCCCGCCCCUCUGCCUUCGCCCACGAGCUGGCCCGCCCGCAACUCUGCCUUCGCCCACGAGCUGGCCCGCCCGCCCCUCUGCCUUCGCCCACGAGCUGGCCCGCCCGCCCCUCUGCCUUCGCCCACGAGCUGGCCCGCCCGCCCGCCUUUCUGCCUUCUCCCUCAAGCUGGCCCGCCCGCCCCUCUGCCUUCGCACACGAGCUGGCCCUGGCAUUGCAGAACCCUGGACCCUCACUGUAGAUGGGAAGCUGUCUGACGAGUUUUCCCUUCCAUUCCAUGUAGAGGAAGUCAAAAGGUAGAUGACAGCUUUUGCUGAGCAGGAUGGUGCUGAUCACCUCAGGUCCCCCUGGAGUCUUGCACCAUCCGCUUCCUGGAUAACUUCAGCCGUGGCCAGCACGGAGCCUCUUCGGCAGAGUACUUACUAGAGUCCGGCUACGCUGUGAUCUUCCUGCACAGACACCGCUCCUUAUAUCCCUUCACUCUGGGAUUAAUCUGCUGGACAAUAGAGGGUUCUGGCUGUGGCCAAGUCAUGGUCAACCAGCAGGCACUUCCCAACAUUGGCAAAGUCCUGAUGCGUUACCAGGCGGUAAAAGAGGCACGGCUUCUUCUGCCUGUGGAGUUCAGCACCCUGUCUGAGUACCUGCACCACCUCAAAGCUGCAGCACAGGCACUCAGGCCCAUAGGGUCUACGGCCAUGUUUUAUUUGGCUGCAGCAGUGUCAGAUUUUUACAUUCCAGCAUCAGAAAUGCCAGAGCACAAAAUCCAGUCCUCCAAUGGACCACUUCAGAUCAGUAUGAAGAUGGUCCCCAAGAUGUUGUCGCCGCUGGUGGACUGGGCUCCACAGGCAUUUGCUUCAAGCUGGAGAUGGACCCGUCCAUCCUGCUGGACAGAGCUCGGCGGGCACUGGACAACAGGCUGUGGUGGCCAGCGUACUGGACACCAGACGAGGUUAUGUAGUGGUGGUGACCCCUUACACUCAGGCCAAGCUAGUACUUACGGAUGAGGAAGCAAGCAGAGAUGUGGAGAUCGAGGACAGUAUUGUCAGUAACCUGACCAGAGCUCACAGCCAAAUCAUAACCCAACAAGACUGAGACCCCAGAGGUGUUUUCAUUAGUUGCAAUGGAAACUUCACUCCAAACAGAAAACGUUAUGCAACAAAAACAGGUUACAACUGGACAAAUUCAUGGACGUCCCUCCCUGUUUGAUAUGUUUGCUUCCUAGAGUAAGAUCGCUUCUCACAGAAUCUGACUAAUGAAUACACUCCAGUAAACUGUGCUGCUUACUGGGAGGGCUGGCUUUGGUGGUCCGAUGAAACACAGUAACGUGUCGUACAAGUCCCUGGGGCAGGGCACUAGCUCUACUUUCUUCUGAAAUCUUAAUUCAUGCUUGUCUAGUUUGGAUCUUCAUUUUAUCUUGCAGGGCUUUCACCGUCCUAGAUCAGACAUUCAUGUGCAUGCAUAUGUAGGUUUCAGUACACACUCUGCCUUUAAAAUCUAAUAUUUACAUAAUCACAGCAAAACAAUCCUUGAUCACCUUAACUUUAAGUAUCAUACUCAUGUCACAAGGCAGAUUACAACAUAUUGGUUGUGGAAUGAUAAUGCCAACCAAUGAAUUGACUUAACCUCAUAGCAGUUUGUCAGAGUAAUAUCACAGACAGAGUACAUCAGUAAAGUAACAGACUCGGAACAUUAAACUUUAACUGUAUGUUGAUAUUUUAUGUGCUGGACAAAUCACAAAUCUACUCCACAGAGGGAACAGUCUUCCUUGAAGGCAUGACACCCCAUACAGCUAGCUAUCAGUGAUUGUGUAAUUUACUUGCAAAUGUGUGGAAACGGUUUGGUUGGUUAUUUGAGUUUGACACUAAGUCCAGCACGAAUACCAGACAGCUCUCCACUAUCUUGUCUCCUCACAACAGACUUCAUGAACCUGGAAUACAUUCAAGAUUUUAAUGUAGGUUUUUUUCAAAAAUACACUUGGAAUUCAAUUUGAUCCAUAAUUGACACUAGUUAAAUUAUACAAGUUGUCAAUUUUGCUAUCAAAUACAGUAUAUCAUAUCAGCAUACACACUACAAAGCAGGAUCAAGGAGUUAGCCAGAUAAAUUGCCUCUAUUCUGAACUAAUAAAUAACCAAGCUUGAAAUGGGCUAUGGUCUAAUUAACUCAACCUAAGUUUAUUUUUCUAAAUGAUUCAGAAAAUCAACAGUUGUUUCUGGUUGUUAAUCAAAGUAAGCUGGCUAACUCAUUGGUUCUGCUUUGUAGUAUACCCCUCAGAGGUCCUGAAAGAUGUGCCUGCAGGAGGUGUAAGUAAUGCCUGCAAAACACUAUCAUACAUAGGAUUUGUAUACAUUUUAUACACUGCAACUUCAAGUUUCAAAUGUUGUCUACAAACUUGUCCCGUUAUGCGGAUCUUGGCUAGUCUGAAAUUCUCUCUGUUUGACUCUGCGAUUGCGGUCAGUCUUCUUCCUCUUUGGUGUAAACCCUUGGUUCUUGGCCAUUAGCGGAAAGGAUCGAGCAGCAUGUACAAAUUAGACAAAAGUUUUAAACCGGGAAGGGAAUACUCUAACAUAUAAAGUACUAGAAUAAUCUGAUGAAGGUCAUGAUUUGAAGUACUGGGUGAAAAUGUUUUCUUAAUAUUGUGCUUUGUACAAUGAGUAUGGAAACAAAUAUUGUACAUGAAGGCUAAGCUGUACAAUAAAUAAUUACUGCUGUAUACUUGUGUGUAACUAAUUUCUACAUGUUUAAAGGAUAAUACUCAAGAGGGUGAGAC